rnacentral:snoRNA from 1 species
AAUAUAUAUUAAUCGUGCGGAUUAAUAAUCCAGGACUCUAAAACCGUGUUGUUUGAAAUGAUCUUUAGCGUUGUUUCAAACGUCAAGUCCAUCGGAGAGAUUGAAAUUUUGUUCAUCUUAGUGCCCUUUUGUAUUGAUUAUAAAUGAUUGGAGAUUAAAUAAGUUUCGAUUUUUUUGCUUUCCAAUCAUUACAGUUUUUGCAUGGGCUGGUAGGACAGACAGUU